rnacentral:rRNA from 1 species
CCUACGGGUGGCAGCAGUGGGGAAUAUUGGACAAUGGGCGAAAGCCUGAUCCAGCCAUGCCGCGUGUGUGAAGAAGGCCUUCGGGUUGUAAAGCACUUUCAGUGGGGAAGAAAGCCUUGGGGCUAAUACCCUCGAGGAAGGACAUCACCCACAGAAGAAGCACCGGCUAACUCCGUGCCAGCAGCCGCGGUAAUACGGAGGGUGCGAGCGUUAAUCGGAAUUACUGGGCGUAAAGCGCGCGUAGGCGGUCUGUUAAGCCGGUUGUGAAAGCCCCGGGCUCAACCUGGGAACGGCAUCCGGAACUGUCAGGCUAGAGUGCAGGAGAGGAAGGUAGAAUUCCCGGUGUAGCGGUGAAAUGCGUAGAGAUCGGGAGGAAUACCAGUGGCGAAGGCGGCCUUCUGGACUGACACUGACGCUGAGGUGCGAAAGCGUGGGUAGCAAACAGGAUUAGAUACCCGGGUAGUC